AGGCGAUGCUUAUGUAUCUCCUCAGCCUGAACAGACCCUGGAUAUUGGCAGGUUCUCGUACAAUCCUUAUCGGUAAAACUCAUG
rnacentral:ncRNA from 1 species